AAACGAUAAAGGCAAACUUAUUGAAAAAUAAGGACGCAAAGCCACGGGUCUAAAGUUCUAAAUUUUUGAGCUACGAUCGCCAGGUUACCGGG
rnacentral:ncRNA from 1 species